UACGAAGGGGGCUAGCGUUGCUCGGAAUCAUUGGGCGUAAAGCGCACGUAGGUGGCCUGUUAAGUCGGGUGUGAAAUCCCUGGGCUCAACCCAGGAAGUGCACUCGAAACUGGCAGGCUUGAGUACUGAAGAGGGUCGCGGAAUUCCCGGUGUAGAGGUGAAAUUCGUAGAUAUCGGGAGGAACACCAGUGGCGAAGGCGGCGACCUGGGCAGAUACUGACACUGAGGUGCGAAAGCGUGGGGAGCAACAGG
rnacentral:rRNA from 1 species